CCUACGGGCGGCAGCAGUGAGGAAUAUUGGUCAAUGGACGAGAGUCUGAACCAGCCAAGUAGCGUGAAGGAUGACUGCCCUAUGGGUUGUAAACUUCUUUUAUAUGGGAAUAAAAUGUUCCCAAUGUGGGAUUUUGUAUGUACCAUAUGAAUAAGGAUCGGCUAACUCCGUGCCAGCAGCCGCGGUAAUACGGAGGAUCCGAGCGUUAUCCGGAUUUAUUGGGUUUAAAGGGAGCGUAGGUUGAUUGUUAAGUCAGUUGUGAAAGUUUGCGGCUCAACCGUAAAAUUGCAGUUGAAACUGGCAGUCUUGAGUACAGUAGAGGUGGGCGGAAUUCGUGGUGUAGCGGUGAAAUGCUUAGAUAUCACGAAGAACUCCGAUUGCGAAGGCAGUUCACUGGACUGCAACUGACACUGAGGCUCGAAAGUGUGGGUAUCAAACAGGAUUAGAUACCCCUGUAGUC
rnacentral:rRNA from 1 species